AUUAGGGCGGGCUUUUGCGUCACCAUUGGUCCACUAGUUCUAGAUUGACAGCUCCUCCUCUAGCCAAUCAGUCGAAGAUGGUGUUGACGUCACUUCAUACGCGACUCGCGGCAUAUCCUUGGAGGUAGACUAUAAAUUAACCGUCAUCUGCAAAUCCCGGACAAGGUCCACAGGAAAGCAGUUGUUCCCCAUGUAACAUUUUGAGUUGCAUCAGUGCUAAGCCUCUUGCAUCAAGACAUCCACUUUACGGUUUGAUGGAUAUGUUAAUGGAUGUCCAAUGUCGGUCCUGGAGGGCCACAGUCCUGCAGAGUUUAGCUCCAACUUGGUUUAACAAACCUGUUUUGAAGUUUCUAGUAUGUUUUGUGAGAUGUUGAUUGGCUGUUCAGGUGUGUUUGAUUAGAGUUGAAGCGAAACUUUGAAGGACACAGGCCCUCGAGGACUGACUUCGGACACCCCUGUGUUAAUGGAAAGGAUCUCUGCAAGAGACAACACACACGAUGUUGACUACGUCCUCAGCCACGUUUCUCCUGAAAUUAGUGCAAGAGUGAGUUCCACAGCUUUUGAAAAACAGAAGAUCAUAAGCUUCUUAAAUAUUUCCUUCAAGAAACAUGGAGAUGGACUUUGCAUUGUAUACUGCAUCUAAAAAGACUCGAAGGCUAUCCAAGAUAUGCUUUCCUCAUCAGAACAGCAUGAAUGGCUCCAUCUAAUACAAGUGCAUGACCAUCAAUUUAAGAUUGUCAAGAACUCAUUUUAACAUUUAUUGAGUGGAUAGGAUCAGUGAAUCUAUACAUAUCAGUAAAAACACCCUGCUAACUUCUGGAUAACUUGAAUGGACAAAUGUGAACUUUUGAACCACCAAAAAUGACAAUUCUGUUGCGGCAUUAGUAUAUUGUAUUGAAGUACUCUAUUUAACCAGUCUCAUUACGUUCCUGUAGUGAUGUUUGCUUUUUUUAAUCACCUUUAUAAUGGUGUUAAAUGACAUAAAAAUAACAACAUAUUACAUUAAUAUUAGUCUGAUGCUUUAAGAUUCAAGUUGCAACGGACUGCGUCACAAAAUUGAACUAAGUAAAUAUCUCUGAUAUGUAAGAUUGGUUGUCAUGAACUGAGCCAUAUCAUGAUAACGUACACUCCAUCUACAUGAGGGACUGUUACUAGCGUUUUUGCUCCUCCAAUAAGUCCUCAAGCGCUGUCUUGCUCCAAAAGGUCCUAGGAUAAAAAAUAUACAAGUUGAAGUAUGCAUUGUUCUGUGCAUUUUUAAUCAUAACAUGGACACCUGGUUUCAAAGCUGAUUGGGUUAAGAUUCAGCUUUAAACAAUGUCCAUCUUUUUUUACACACUUUGUCUAUUAAGACAGACCGUUUUAAAUGUUUAAAUCGUUUCCUAUGUACACACUAGUGUAAUACCAUGCUCUUUGACAUAAUUCCUUGCAUUGGAGCAAAAUUCACAAAACUGACAAAACACAUCUGUUCCCCGGUAACACUACGUUCAAUUAGCACUUAUUACUGAUUUAAUGCACUACUGUGAGAUAAGACGCUGCAUCAUGUGCUCGUCUAAAUGAGUUAAGAUUCGCAUGGCAUUAUAAUUGUCACAAGCUAGCAACAUCACAUUUACAACAAUACAGUAUUUAUUUCUAAAUACACAGCCAAUAAUAUUAAAUAACUUAAUAAAGUAACUGUAAACUAUAGCACCGCUGACUAAACCCAGCUAACGGGACCCAUGUAUGUUAAUUUAUCGGACUAUCUGGUGGAACUGGACAUCAAAUUACUCGGUAAACCUGGCAGAGCAUAUUCAUAACAGAAGUGUAUCUGACACUCAGUAACGAUAUUAUUAUGU